rnacentral:rRNA from 1 species
UACAGAGGUGGCUAGCGUUGUUCGGAAUUACUGGGCGUAAAGGGAGCGCAGGCGGCCAGGUUAGUCUGAAGUGCAAGCCCGGGGCUCAACCCCGGAAUCGCUUUGGAUACUGCCAGGCUUGAGUAUGUCAGAGGUGAGCGGAAUUCCAGGUGUAGCGGUGAAAUGCGUAGAUAUCUGGAGGAACAUCCGUGGCGAAGGCGGCUCACUGGGACACAACUGACGCUGAGGCUCGAAAGCGUGGGGAGCAAACAGG